GAUCCUGGCUCAGAACGAACGCUGGCGGCAGGCUUAACACAUGCAAGUUGAACGGGAUUUGUGUGGUGCUUGCACCAUAUAAUGAGAGUAGCGCACUGGUGAGUAACACGUGGGAACGUACCUUUUGGUGGGGGACAACAUCUGGAAACGGAUGCUAAUACCGCAUAAGACCUGAGGGUGAAAGAUUUAUCGCCGAAAGAACGGCCGNGGAGAUAGCAGUGGUGGGUAAGGACCGUACCAAACCUAACCGAU
rnacentral:rRNA from 1 species